rnacentral:tRNA from 1 species
GGCUUAUUAGCUUAUAACUUAAAGCUUUUACUUUGAAAGUAAAUGAAAGAGAUUUCUAUAAGCCU